rnacentral:lncRNA from 1 species
UAUUGUAUAAACCUUGGCGACGAUGUGACUUCGUGCCUAUUUGAUGAACCUUGGCGACUAUGGAGUUAGCGCUCGUUGAGUAAACCUUGGCGACUAUGGAGUUAGCGCUUGUUGAGUAAACCUUGGCGACUAUGGAGUUAGCGCUUGUUAAGUGAACCUUGGUGACUAUGGAGUUAGCGCCUAUUGUUGAGUAAACCUUGGCGACUAUGGAGUUAGCGCUUGUUGAGUAAACCUUGGCGACUAUGGAGUUAGCGCUUGUUGAGUAAACCUUGGUGACUAUGGAGUUAGUGCCUAUUGUUAAGUGAACCUUGGUGACUAUGGAGUUAGCGCCUAUUGUUGAGUAAACCUUGGCGACUAUGGAGUUAGCGCUUGUUGAGUAAACCUUGGCGACUAUGGAGUUAGCGCUUGUUGAGUGAACCUUGGUGACUAUGGAGUUAGCGCCAGAUAACUAUGGAUUUAGUACUUGAUAAAUAAGCUUUGGCAGCAAUGGAAUUCGUGCCAAUUCCUUACGAAUAAAUGAAUGAAGGAUAGUUGGUUCUUAGGGUAAAACCUUAAGAAGAUAAUGGGGAUGGGUAAUUGGGUUGAUUGUUUGCUGAUUAAAUAUAAUAAUUAUAUUAUUGUGGGUUGAAAACCCUAUAUGCUCACCAGGCUCCCAAGCCUGACCCACUCAGUUUUCUUUUCAUUACAGGUAAUGGUACAAGGGUAUAAGUUGGUGGACUUGACGAGAGAUUUUGGGAUUAUAGAUCAGUAGUUAUAAAUAACUAUUGUAAGAUCUAUUUUAUAUUGUUUAUGCUUUUGGUCUGUAACGAACAUGACAUCCCGAGGUUUUAUUAUUU